AGUGGACGCUGGCGGUAGGCCUAACACAUGCCAGUCGAACGGCAGCACAGUAAGAGCUUGCUCUUACGGGUGGCGAGUGGCGGACGGGUGAGGAAUACAUCGGAAUCUACUUUUUCGUGGGGGAUAACGUAGGGAAACUUACGCUAAUACCGCAUACGACCUACGGGUGAAAGCAGGGGAUCUUCGGACCUUGCGCGAUUGAAUGGGCCGAUGUCGGAUUAGCUAGUUGGCGGGGUAAAGGCCCACCAAGGCGACGAUCCGUAGCUGGUCUGAGAGGAUGAUCAGCCACACUGGAACUGAGACACGGUCCAGACUCCUACGGGAGGCAGCAGUGGGGAAUAUUGGACAAUGGGCGCAAGCCUGAUCCAGCCAUACCGCGUGGGUGAAGAAGGCCUUCGGGUUGUAAAGCCCUUUUGUUGGGAAAGAAAAGCAGCAGGUUAAUACCCCGCUGUUCUGACGGUACCCAAAGAAUAAGCACCGGCUAACUUCGUG
rnacentral:rRNA from 1 species